rnacentral:rRNA from 1 species
GAAACGCAAGCUAAUACCGCAUACGCCCUAUGGGGGAAAGCGGGGGAUCUUCGGACCUCGCGCUAUCGGAUGAGCCUGCGUAGGAUUAGCUAGUUGGUGAGGUAAAGGCUCACCAAGGCGACGAUCCUUAGCUGGUCUGAGAGGAUGAUCAGCCACACUGGAACUGAGACACGGUCCAGACUCCUACGGGAGGCAGCAGUGGGGAAUAUUGCGCAAUGGGGGCAACCCUGACGCAGCCAUGCCGCGUGUGUGAAGAAGGCCUUAGGGUUGUAAAGCACUUUCAAUUGGGAGGAAAGGUUGUACGUUAAUAGCGUGCAGCUGUGACGUUACCUUUAGAAGAAGCACCGGCUAACUCCGUGCCAGCAGCCGCGGUAAUACGGAGGGUGCGAGCGUUAAUCGGAAUUACUGGGCGUAAAGCGCGCGUAGGCGGUUUGUUAAGUCGGAUGUGAAAGCCCCGGGCUCAACCUGGGAACUGCAUUCGAUACUGGCCGACUAGAGUACGAGAGAGGGAGGUAGAAUUCCACGUGUAGCGGUGAAAUGCGUAGAUAUGUGGAGGAAUACCGGUGGCGAAGGCGGCCUCCUGGCUCGAUACUGACGCUGA